CCUACGGGAGGCUGCAGUGAGGAAUAUUGGUCAAUGGCCGGGAGGCUGAACCAGCCAAGUCGCGUGAGGGAUGACUGCCCUACGGGUUGUAAACUUCUUUUGUCAGGGAGUAAAGCGCAGCUCGGGAGCCUCUGUGCGUGUACUUUAUGAAAAAGCAUCGGCUAACUCCGUGCCAGCAGCCGCGGUAAUACGGAGGAUGCGAGCGUUAUCCGGAUUUAUUGGGUUUAAAGGGUGCGCGGGUGGAGGGUAAAGUCAGCGGUAAAAUCGGGGGGCUCAACCUAACUCCGCCGUUGAAACUGGGUGCCUUGAGUGCAGGAAGGGUAGGCGGAAUGCGUGGUGUAGCGGUGAAAUGCAUAGAUAUCACGAAGAACUCCGAUCGCGAAGGCAGCCUACCAACGCGCAACUGACACUGAUGCACGAAAGCGUGGGUAUCGAACAGGAUUAGAUACCCGAGUAGUC
rnacentral:rRNA from 1 species